AAUCAACGCUGGCGGCGUGCCUCAGACAUGCAAGUCGAACGAGAAGGCUCCUUCGGGAGCCGGAAAGUGGCGCACGGGUGAGUAACACGUGGGUAAUUUACCUUCGGGUGGGGAACGAACAGCCGGAAACGGCUGCUAAUACCGCAUAACGUAGCGGCACCUAAUGGUGACAGUUGUUAAAGCGGGGGAUCGCAAGACCUCGCGCCUGAAGAGAAGCCUGCGGCAGAUUAGGUAGUUGGGAGGUAAUGGCUCACCAAGCCCGCGAUCUGUAGCCGGCCUGAGAGGGCGGUCGGCCACACUGACACUG
rnacentral:rRNA from 1 species